UACGUAGGGAGCAAGCGUUGUCCGGAAUCAUUGGGCGUAAAGCGCGCGUAGGCGGCCCGGUAAGUCCGUUGUAAAAGUCGAAGGCUCAACCUUCGAAAGCCGAUGGAUACUGCCGGGCUAGAGUUCGGAAGAGGCGACUGGAAUUCCUGGUGUAGCGGUGGAAUGCGCAGAUAUCAGGAGGAACACCGGUGGCGAAGGCGGGUCUCUGGGCAACAACUGACGCUGAGGAGCGAAAGCGUGGGGAGCGAACAGG
rnacentral:rRNA from 1 species